CCUACGGGAGGCAGCAGUGGGGAAUAUUGCACAAUGGGGGAAACCCUGAUGCAGCGACGCCGCGUGAGCGAAGAAGUAUUUCGGAAUGUAAAGCUCUAUCAGCAGGGAAGAACAUGACGGUACCUGACUACGAAGCACCGGCUAAAUACGUGCCAGAAGCCGCGGUAAUACGUAGGGAGAAAGCGUUAUCCGGAUUUACUGGGUGUAAAGGGAGCGUAGGCGGUAAGGCAAGUCUCAUGUGAAAGGCCAGGGCUCAACCCUGGGACUGAAUUGGAAACUGUUUAACUGGAGUGUCGGAGAGGCUAGUGGAAUUCCUGGUGUAGCAGUGAAAUGCGUAGAUAUUAGGAGGAACACCAGUGGCGAAGGCGGCUAGCUGGACGAUGACUGACGCUGAGGCGCGAAAGCGUGGGGAGCAAACAGGAUUAGAUACCCGAGUAGUC
rnacentral:rRNA from 1 species